rnacentral:rRNA from 1 species
GACGAACGCUGGCGGCGUGCCUAAUACAUGCAAGUAGAACGCUGAAGGGGGAGCUUGCUUCUCUGGAUGAGUUGCGAACGGGUGAGUAACGCGUAGGUAACCUGCCUGGUAGCGGGGGAUAACUAUUGGAAACGAUAGCUAAUACCGCAUAAUAGCAGUUAUUGCAUGAUAACUGUUUGAAAGGUGCAAUUGCACCACUACCAGAUGGACCUGCGUUGUAUUAGCUAGUUGGUGGGGUAACGGCUCACCAAGGCGACGAUACAUAGCCGACCUGAGAGGGUGAUCGGCCACACUGGGACUGAGACACGGCCCAGACUCCUACGGGAGGCAGCAGUAGGGAAUCUUCGGCAAUGGACGGAAGUCUGACCGAGCAACGCCGCGUGAGUGAAGAAGGUUUUCGGAUCGUAAAGCUCUGUUGUAAGAGAAGAACGAGUGUGAGAGUGGAAAGUUCACACUGUGACGGUAUCUGACCAGAAAGGGACGGCUAACUACGUG